CCUACGGGUGACAGCAGUGGGGAAUAUUGGGCAAUGGGCGCAAGCCUGACCCAGCAACGCCGCGUGAAGGAAGAAGGCCUUCGGGUUGUAAACUUCUUUUCUCAGGGACGAAGCAAGUGACGGUACCUGAGGAAUAAGCCACGGCUAACUACGUGCCAGCAGCUGCGGUAAUACGUAGGUGGCAAGCGUUAUCCGGAUUUACGGGGUGUAAAGGGCGUGUAGGCGGGACUGCAAGUCAGAUGUGAAAACCACGGGCUCAACCUGUGGACUGCAUUUGAAACUGUAGUUCUUGAGUACUGGAGAGGCAGACGGAAUUCCUAGUGUAGCGCUGAAAUGCGUAGAUAUUAGGAAGAACACCAGUGGCGAAGGCAGUCUGCUGGACAGCAACUGACGCUGAGGCGCGAAAGCGUGGGGAGCAAACAGGAUUAGAUACCCGGGUAGUC
rnacentral:rRNA from 1 species